rfam:Glycine soja cultivar W05 scaffold12489_3, whole genome shotgun sequence.
GCAUUGGCUUUCUUCGAAGCCACCCAAAUACAUUCUAAGCUUUUG